UACGUAGGUGGCGAGCGUUGUCCGGAUUUACUGGGCGUAAAGGGAGCGUAGGCGGACUUUAAGUGGGAUGUGAAAUACCCGGGCUCAACUUGGGUGCUGCAUUUCAAACUGGAAGUCUAGAGUGCAGGAGAGGAGAAUGGAAUUCCUAGUGUAGCGGUGAAAUGCGUAGAGAUUAGGAAGAACACCAGUGGCGAAGGCGAUUCUCUGGACUGUAACUGACGCUGAGGCUCGAAAGCGUGGGGAUCAAACAGGAUUAGAUACCCUGGUA
rnacentral:rRNA from 1 species